ACACUGGCAAGACUUUAAUAUCACAGCCGCCGCGGCUGCCUCAGAAUUGUUGCCUUCUCUUCUGACCAUGUUUUUGUAACUUUGUGAUGCCAUUUGCCGCCAGCUGCCACCUCAAGCUCAAUUCUAAAGGAUCGUGUCCCUGUUCCUUCGCCUGCUUAUCCUUUUGCCUCAAAAUUUACAGCCGUUUCUUGUUAGCCCAAAGAUCAAAAGAACGAAAAUUCUGUGCGCAAAUGAUCAUAUUUCAUUAAUAGCUAAAUGAUUAUUACUGUUUCUGUAUCUGUCAGGAUUAGCUUUUUCAGGCUGAUUGUGGUGUUGAUUAGCUGCCAUUUUUAUGACAUAUUCCAAAAGGGAAAUUCUCUGUCAAGAGAUUAAACUUUCUGUUGGGUACGGGUAGCAUUGAGCAGCAGGUAUGAUUUGCUUUUAUUUGGAAACUUCCUAUCCCCCCAAAAGUUCAGUGCUUUAUAUGGCUUGCCAUACUUGAUUCUAUACCUACACGGGCCUUCUAAGGACUCGUGGAGUUCCUUUCAACGAAGAGCAAUUACUAUGUGGUUGGUGCCAAGCUGAGACAGAAACAUGCUCUCACAUUCUUUUAGGCUGCAAAUUUAGUUGGAUAAUAUGGGCCAUGGUUCAUAGAUGGUGGCAAAUGAUUUGGGCACCCCUUAGUUCUAUUGGCACUGAUAUAUGCAUUUGGGAUGCUUGUCAUUGUACAGGUUUGACGAAAAAGAGAUGGAUGAUUGUUCGUGGUUCUACCAUUUGGUCACUAUGGCUUGCAAGGAAUGAAUCCAUGUUUAAUGGUAAGGGUUGGGAUAGUACAGAGAUAUUUAAUAACAUCCGUACACUCUCAUUAUUUUGGACUAAAGCUUGUGAUGGAAUGGGCUCGCUGGAUGAGUAUGGUUGGUGGCCCGAGCCUUGAAAUGUAAAUAUUACACGUGCUCCCCUUCACACCAGUGUUAAUAUUACUUGGCAGCCUCCACAACUUGGUGAGUUCAAAUUCAAUGUUGACGGCUCGGCUAGAGAAACAUCUGGGCCUGCAGGCUAUGGGGGUGUUCUUCGAGACUCAGAGGGGUAUGUGACAGGUCUAUUCUUUGGUCCCCUAGGCGUGCAGGACUCUAAUCAUGCAGAGAUAAUGACCAUCAAACAUGCCCUGUAAAUGUAUGCGAGUUCUCCUUAUGCAGGUAACCACCAACUUGUUGUGGAGUCUGACUCUAUUGGGGCACUCACUUGGGUGGAGAAGGUGAAUCAUAGACUUUGGAAUAUCUGGCAUAUUUUCAAAGAAAUAGAUACAAUUAGGGCAACUCUUGGUGGAGUGAUUUUCCAACAUAUUGCACGAGAUGGGAACUCGUUUGUAGACAUGCUUGCUAAACAUGGUGUUGACUGUGAGUCUGUUUACAGCAUGGUGGUAGCUCUCAUUAGCAAAUUUCUUUAUGAAUACUUGUAGUUCACAAUGUUUUGAUAUUGUAAAGCUUAGCUUAGAAUUGUGGUACCUUUCAUAUCAGAUAUGUUUUGUUCGCUGGUGUUAUGUAUGCUUACACCAGUUACACUUUGAUUGUAGUAUGAACAGUUUACUGUACCCUUCCUAUCCUGGGCAGAUUAUAAAUGAAAAUACCUUACUAGCUGA